AUUGAACGCUGGCGGCAGGCCUAACACAUGCAAGUCGAGCGGGGUUUUCGGACCUAGCGGCGGACGGGUGAGUAAUGCGUAGGAAGCUACCCGAUAGAGGGGGAUACCAGUUGGAAACGACUGUUAAUACCGCAUAAUGUCUACGGACCAAAGUGUGGGACCUUCGGGCCACAUGCUAUCGGAUGCGCCUACGUGGGAUUAGCUAGUUGGUGAGGUAAUGGCUCACCAAGGCGACGAUCCCUAGCUGGUUGGAGGGGCUGAUCAGCCACACGAGAACUGAGACACGGGCCAGACUCCAACGGGAGGCAGCAGUGGGGAAUAUUGGACAAUGGGCGCAAGCCUGACUCAGCCAUGCCGCGUGUGUGAAGAAGGCCUUCGGGUUGUAAAGCACUUUCAGUAGGGAGGAAGCGUUGUGUGUUAAUAGUACACAGCGUUGACGUUACCUACAGAAGAAGCACCGGCUAACUCUGUGCCAGCAGCCGCCGUAAUAC
rnacentral:rRNA from 1 species